rnacentral:rRNA from 1 species
UGAAUACGAGACGCUAAGGCGUCGAAGUAGUGUAUGUCAUACUUCCAAGAAAAGCUUGCACUGUCAUAGAUAAAAAACGCCUGUACCAUAACCGACACAGGUGGGUAGGUAGAGUAUACUAAGGGGCGCGAGAUAACUCUCUCUAAGGAACUCGGCAAAAUAACUCCGUAACUUCGGGAGAAGGAGUGCCUUAUUAUUAAGGUUGCAAUAACAAGAUCCAAGCAACUGUUUAUCAAAAACACAGGUCUCCGCUAGGUCGUAAGACGAUGUAUGGGGGCUGACGCCUGCCCAGUGCCAGGAGGUUAAAGAAGCUGGUUAGCAUUUGCGAAGCUAGUAACUGAAGCCCUAGUGAACGGCGGCCGUAACAAUAACGGUCCUAAGGUAGCGAAAUUCCUUGUCGGGUAAGUUCCGACCCGCACGAAAGGCGUAAUGAUUUGGAUACUGUCUCGGAGAGGGGCUCGGUGAAAUAGACUUGUCUGUGAAGAUGCGGACUACCUGCACCAGGACAGAAAGACCCUAUGAAGCUUUACUGUAACUUGAAAUUGAAAUUGGACUUUAUUCGCGCAGUAUAGGUGGGAGGCGUUGAUUAUAAUCUUGCGGGAUUAUUGGAGCCAUUAGUGAGAUACCACUCUUGUAAUGUUAGAUUUCUAACUUUGAAUCAUUAUCUGGUCAAAGAACAGUUUCAGGCGGGCAGUUUGACUGGGGCGGUCGCCUCCUAAACGGUAACGGAGGCGUACAAAGGUUUCCUCUGAACGGUUAGAAAUCGUAUCUAGAGUGUAAAGGCAUAAGGAAGCUUGACUGUGAGACCUACAAGUCGAGCAGGGACGAAAGUCGGUCUUAGUGAUCUGACGGUACUGAGUGGAAAGGCCGUCACUCAACGGAUAAAAGUUACUCUAAGGAUAACAGGCUGAUCUCCCCCAAGAGUUCACAUCGACGGGGAGGUUUGGCACCUCGAUGUCGGCUCAUCGCAUCCUGGGGCGGUAGUACGUCCCAAGGGUUGGGCUGUUCGCCCAUGAAAGCGGUACGCGAGCUGGGUUCAGAACGUCGUGAGACAGUUCGGUCCAUAUCCGGUGUAGGCGUUAGAAUAUUGAGAGGAGCCUUCUUUAGUACGAGAGGACCGAGAAGGACAUACCUCUGGUGUACCAGUUAUCGUGCCAACGGUAGACGCUGGGUAGCUAUGUAUGGAGUGGAUAACCGCUGAAAGCAUCUAAGUGGGAAGCCCACCUCAAGAUAAGUAUUCUCACC